AUGGUGAAGCCGYGAAUGGCUCAUUACAACAGCCGUUGUUUCUUGGAUCUUGAUUUACUUGGAUAACUGUGGUAAUUCUAGAGCUAAUACAUGCACUGAAGCUCCAACCUUGUGGGAGGAGCGCAUUUAUUAGACCAAAACCAAUCAGGCUUUGCCUGUGAUCUGGUGACUCUGAAUAACUUUGCUGAUCGCAYGGUCMUAGUACCGGUGACAUAUCUUUCAAGUGUCUGCCCUAUCAACUUUCGAUGGUAGUUUAUGUGCCUACCAUGGUGGUAACGGGUAACGGAGAAUAAGGGUUCGACUCCGGAGAGGGAGCCUGAGAAAUGGCUACCACAUCCAAGGAAGGCAGCAGGCGCGCAAAUUACCCACUCUCAGCACGAGGAGGUAGUGACGAAAAAUAACGAGAYGGUUCUCUAUGAGGCCCAUCAUCGGAAUGGGUACAAUUUAAACCCUUUAACGAGGAUCUAUUGGAGGGCAAGUCUGGUGCCAGCAGCCGCGGUAAUUCCAGCUCCAAUAGCAUAUACCAAUACUGUUGC
rnacentral:rRNA from 1 species